UUUCGAAUCAUUCACAAUGGGCGAAAGCCUGAUGGUGCGACGCCGCGUGAGGGAUGAAGGUCUUCGGAUUGUAAACCUCUGUCACCGGGGAAGAAACGCUUUGAGUUAAUAGUUCAAAGCCUGACUUAACCCGGAGAGGAAGCAGUGGCUAACUCUGUGCCAGCAGCCGCGGUAAUACAGAGACUGCAAGCGUUAUUCGGAUUCACUGGGCGUAAAGGGUGCGCAGGCGGCCAAGUGUGUGAGGCGUGAAAGCCUGGAGCUUAACUCCAGAAUUGCACCUCAAACUACAUGGCUAGAGCAUUGGAGAGGGUAGCAGAAUUCAUGGUGUAGCAGUGAAAUGCGUAGAUAUCAUGAGGAAUACCAGAGGCGAAGGCGGCUACCUGGACAAUUGCUGACGCUCAGGCACGAAAGCGUGGGGAGCAAAAGG
rnacentral:rRNA from 1 species